rnacentral:lncRNA from 1 species
UCUGGGCAUGGGUGCGUCUGACCAAAUCAUUUGAAAUGUUCAAAUGAUUCAAACGAUGAAAAAGAUGACAUAUCUAGGAGAGAAUUGGAUUCUCUCUCAGUGAAUUCUUUUUCAGAACACAGUGUAUCUGAAACGAGAAGUUGAACUUUGUUAGACAUGAUUCAAUCCACGAUAGGGUUCACUAAUCUAUCUGUUUUAGGAUUG